CCCAUCACUCUUACUGCCUCUAAUACACGAAAGAGACACCUAUCUAGCUUGGUCGUUGAAGAGGAGUAAAGCAGUGAACGGGUGUAAAACAGUGGUGGGAGUGAUCGGAAAAGGACACAUGAACGGUGUGAUCUAUGCAUUGGUGUCAGACUCCGGAGAUCUUCGGUUUAGAGACUUGGUGGGAAGAGGAGAUUCAUAUAAAGGUGGUACAACAUCAUCGGAAGGCUGGAUUCAAAAGGUUUUAAAAAGUCUCGCAAGAGACACCAUUAUAGGGUUAUUGUUAUGGGAGUUAUAUGAACUGUAUCUCAAGUUUGUGAUGAUGAACCAAAUCCCUCCAUGAUCUUGUUACAUAAACAACUUGUCAUUGCAAAUCCAAAAAUGAUAGUGUAAAAUGGGUAUAUAUAAUAUGAUUUUUUCCUUCUA